rnacentral:rRNA from 1 species
GAAUCUACCAAAAGGACUGGGACAACCACUGGAAACGGUGGCUAAUACCGGAUGAGCCGAAAAGUAAAAAGGGAAACCUGCCUUUUGAAGAGCUCGCGUCUGAUUAGCUAGUUGGUGAGGUAAGAGCUCACCAAGGCAGCGAUCAGUAGCUGGUCUGAGAGGAUGACCAGCCACACUGGGACUGAGACACGGCCCAGACUCCUACGGGAGGCAGCAGUGGGGAAUUUUCCGCAAUGGGCGAAAGCCUGACGGAGCAAUACCGCGUGAGGGAGGAAGGCUCUUGGGUUGUAAACCUCUUUUCUCAGGGAAGAACACAAUGACGGUACCUGAGGAAUCAGCAUCGGCUAACUCCGUGCCAGCAGCCGCGGUAAUACGGAGGAUGCAAGCGUUAUCCGGAAUGAUUGGGCGUAAAGCGUCCGCAGGUGGCUUAUCAAGUCGAUUGUUAAAGGUCAGAGCUUAACUCUGAACAGGCAGUGGAAACUGAAGCGCUAGAGUGUGGCAGGGGUAGAGGGAAUUCCCGGUGUAGCGGUGAAAUGCGUAGAGAUCGGGAAGAACAUCGGUGGCGAAAGCGCUCUACUGGGCCACAACUGACACUCAGGGACGAAAGCUAGGGGAGCG